CCUACGGGCGGCAGCAGUGAGGAAUAUUGGUCAAUGGACGGGAGCCUGAACCAGCCAAGCCGCGUGAAGGAAGAAGGCGCCAUGCGUCGUAAACUUCUUUUGUCGGGGGAUAAAGGGCGCCACGCGUGGCGUUUUGAGUGUCCCCGAAGAAAAAGCAUCGGCUAAUUCCGUGCCAGCAGCCGCGGUAAUACGGAGGAUGCGAGCGUUAUCCGGAUUUGUUGGGUUUAAAGGGUGCGUAGGCGGUCCGGAAAGUCAGCGGUAAAAUCCCGGGGCUCAACCCCGGCGAGCCGGUGAAACUGGCGGACUAGAGACGGCGGGAGGUAGGCGGAAUGCGUGGUGUAGCGGUGAAAUGCAUAGAUAUCGCGCAGAACUCCGAUUGCGAAGGCAGCGUACCGGCGCCGGACUGACGCUGAGGCACGAAAGCGUGGGUAUCGAACAGGAUUAGAUACCCGAGUAGUC
rnacentral:rRNA from 1 species